rnacentral:rRNA from 1 species
CAGCAGGACGGACUACAGCGAAAGCAUUUGCCAAGCGCGUCUUCAUUAAUCAAGAACGAAAGUCAGAGGUUCGAAGGCGAUCAGAUACCGCCCUAGUUCUGACCGUAAACGAUGCCAACUAGCGAUCCGCCGGCGGCUUCUCGGCCCUGGUGGGGAGCUUCCCGGAAACGAAAGUCUUCCGGUUCCGGGGGAAGUAUGGUUGCAAAGCUGAAACUUAAAGGAAUUGACGGAAGGGCACCACCAGGAGUGGAGCCUGCGGCUUAAUUUGACUCAACACGGGAAAACUCACCCGGCCCGGACACCGUGAGGAUUGACAGAUUGAUAGCUUUUUCAUGAUUCGGUGGUUGGUGGUGCAUGGCCGUUCUUAGUUCGUGGAUCGAUUUGUCUGGUUUAUUCCGAUAACGAGCGAGACUCCAGCCUACUAACUAGUGCGGGCAUUGCCUCUGUGCUUGUCACUUCUUAGAGGGAUUGGCUGCGUCUAGCGGCACGAAACGGAGCAAUAACAGGUCUGUGAUGCCCUUAGAUGUCCGGGGCUGCACGCGCGCUACACUGGCAAAGGCAGCGUGCUUGUCCGCCUCCGAAAGGAGCCGGUAAACCCUUGAAAAUUUGCCGUGAUUGGGAUCGGAAAUUGCAAUUAUUUUCCGUGAACGAGGAAUUCCUAGUAAGUGCGAGUCAUCAGCUCGCGUUGAUUACGUCCCUG